GUGCCAGCCGCCGCGGUAAUACCGGCGGCUCGAGUGGUGGCCACUAUUACUGGGCUUAAAGCGUCCGUAGCUGGAUUGUUAAGUCUCUUGGGAAAUCCACCGGCUCAACCGAUGGGCGUUCAGGAGAAACUGGCAAUCUAGGGACCGGGAGAGGUGAGAGGUACUCCAGGGGUAGGAGUGAAAUCCUGUAAUCCUUGGGGGACCACCUGUGGCGAAGGCGUCUCACUAGAACGGCUCCGACAGUGAGGGACGAAAGCUGGGGGAGCAAACCGGAUUAGAUACCCGGGUAGUCCCAGCUGUAAACGAUGCGCGUUAGGUGUAUCGGUGACCACGAGUCAUCGAGGUGCCGAAGGGAAACCGUGAAACGUG
rnacentral:rRNA from 1 species